UACGUAGGGUGCGAGCGUUGUCCGGAAUUAUUGGGCGUAAAGGGCUCGUAGGCGGUCUGUUGCGUCAGGAGUGAAAACUCGGGGCUUAACCCCCGAGCCUGCUUCUGAUACGGGCAGACUAGAGGUAUGCAGGGGGGAACGGAAUUCCUGGUGUAGCGGUGAAAUGCGCAGAUAUCAGGAGGAACACCGGUGGCGAAGGCGGAUCUCUGGGCCUUACCUGACGCUCAGGUGCGAAAGCUAGGGGAGCGAACAGG
rnacentral:rRNA from 1 species